AUUGAACGCUGGCGGCGUGCCUAACACAUGCAAGUCGAGCGGUAACAGGUGUAGCAAUACAUGCUGACGAGCGGCGAACGGGUGAGUAAUGCUUCGGAAUCUACCUUAUGGUGGGGAAUAACUAGCCGAAAGGUUAGCUAAUACCGCAUACGUCCUACGGGAGAAAGCAGGGGAUCGCAAGACCUUGCGCCAAAGGUUGAGCCGAAGUCGGAUUAGCUAGUUGGUAGGGUAACGGCCUACCAAGGCGACGAUCCGUAGCUGGUCUGAGAGGACGACCAGCCACACUGGGACUGAGACACGGCCCAGACUCCUACGGGAGGCAGCAGUGGGGAAUAUUGGACAAUGGGGGAAACCCUGAUCCAGCGACGCCGCGUGUGUGAAGAAGGCCUGCGGGUUGUAAAGCACUUUUAGUGGGGAUGAAAUGUGCAGGGUUAAUACCUCUGCAUUUUGACCUAACCCACAGAAAAAGCACCGGCUAACUCUGUGCCAGCCGCCGCAGUAA
rnacentral:rRNA from 1 species